ACAUGCUUUUUUAAGUGGGUUUAUGGUCGACACUAGGCUAACGUUACAUAGUUUUGCUUCAGGUAGAAUGAUAAGGCUAAUUAUAUAUGCAUGAAACAACCUUACACAGUUUUGAUAACGUUAAUGAUGAACACAAUCUUAAUAUAGCCUUCCUGUGAUGAAAUGCCGACUGCACACACACACACACACACACACACGCUUAGUCUUGGGAUUCCACAACUUCCCUUGAUCAUCCUCAAAACGUAUUGCUUGUAGCCAUUUUGUAAUCCUUUCCGGCUCUGUAUGUUUAUAAGGAAGGAUGUAGAACUUCAAUUCAUAAUUUGUUAGUUUAUUGGAGGUACAGAAAACGACACAGCAACUCUUUGGCGUGACUGUCCUGUUUAUUUCAAUUGGCGCCAAGGCAAUGUUUUCCCCCAUGGGCUAAAUUCACAUCACGUGACGGGGCGUUCCCGGGGGCGUUCCCAGACCAACCGUCUGUAUCUAUGUGUUCCAUGUGCGGUUCAGUAUCAACCAAUAAGAUUCCAUGUACGAUGUCGCGUUUUCAUUGGUCAGUCGUUGAAACCUAUUUCUGAUUGGUUGUUGCCGUUUUGACAGCGUUUAUGCCAAGAGCAAAGAGAAAGAAAUUGAAGAGAAGAGUAGGCUACUUGCAGUGUUGCCAACUUAGCGACUUUGUCGCUUGAUUUAGCGACUUUUCAGACCCCCAUAGCGACAAAACCCUAGUGACAAAUCUAGCGUUGUCGGACAACAGAAACAUUCAAAUAUAAAAUAAAAAACCUUUGAGAAUUUUAGCUGCCUUAGAAUGCAGUACAUGAGCACAGAAAUGGAAAGAUAAUAAGACUGCACUUACGUCAUGAAUAUGCUAAUUAGCAUAUGACGUCAUCUAGCGACUUUUCAGGCAGGGUUUAGCUACUUUCCAUAGAAAGAGGUUGGCAACACUGGUUGGCCAUGCGCGAACCCACAGGACGCAGUCUAAGCACAUACACGCUUACUUUAAGCGAAGAGAAGAGAUUCGCGAUUGCACUGAACACGUUUUAAGUGCAGGCAUACUCUCUGAGCGAGCCCAGAGAAAAUUCUUACAAGACAACAUAUAUCUGAGAGCGUGCGCCGAGUUCCAGCACACGAACAGAGAGAUUCGCGCUCUGCACAUUAUAUUCCGCGCGCGAGAUUUGCGCUCGCACACAUUAUAUUCCGCGCGGGAGCAGAGAGAUUUGCGCUCGCGCACAUUAUAUUCCGCGCGCGACUCGCAGUGUUGCCAACUUAGCGACUUUGUCGCUAUAUUUAGUGACUUUUCAGACCCUCUCAGCGACUUUUUUCCAAAAAAGAGACUAGCGACAAAUCUAGCGACUUUUUUUGACAGACCUUAUUUAGUCUCUGAGACUCUCCGGUACUGCAGCACGAGCUUUCUCUCUCGCUCUCUCUCCCAGCGUGUGCACACGCCUCUCUCUCUCUCUGCAUCUGCUCUAUUCAACGAGCAGAGAGGAGCAGCACUUUCAGUUAAAAAAAGAUAUUUUGUUGCUUCAUGUAAAAAAGGCUAUGGGUUUCUAUUUUUCUAACUGUAUUUAAAUCUCUCCUUCUACAUGUGAUCUCCUUGACCACGUGAUUCCCCCCGCCCUCACAGUGACUGAAGAUCAGUGCAGGGGGAUACAGGUCGAAGGCUUAAGUUUCUGCAUUAUCAUUGUUUCUGGACUGUUUAAAGAUCGCCUUUUGGACAAAGUGUUGUGUGUGAAUGCAAAAGUAAGUUUGAAUAGCUUAUUAUAUAGUCGAUGAGAGAUUUAUUCACGUCUGUAUACAAGUUAAUAUGUCCGUGAGGUAACGAUGUCUAUGUGUAUGCGUGCAUUUAUAAUUCGCGUGUAACAUUGUAAACAUUGUAACCCGUUGUUUAUAUGCUUAUAUACAUAUCUGGUGAGUGCUAGAGUAACAUAUGUUGUUAUCAGUACAAGUUAAGUUCCCGUUUGAAACAGGGUUCGCUGCAUUUCUUUAUAUCUAACGAGUAUACUGUUAAAAUAUAACUUUCUAAGCGCAUGCGCUCUCGUAGCUCAGACUGAGUGGCGCUUCAUAAGCGUCCUGGCUCUAAUAGGGUGUCAAGUUACAAAUGUGCGCUGCUUAUAAUAUAGGAAAUUACAGCCUGCCUUGUAUUCUACAUUUCUUUUUGCAAAUAAUGUUCAUAUUGAUGUUUAAUUAUCAAGUUUAAUUUACUGUGCUGUGUUAUUGCCAUUUUGUUAUAAUUUAUUUUUACUAUUAUCAUGUAUAUUAUGUAUAUUUAUGUUUAUGUCUUUGGUUUAUAUUUUUUGUAGAAAAACCACAACCACGACCAAACCAUCUGUUGAGUGGUGACAAUAAAUGGGUUAUUCCCAGAAAAGUGCAUCUUCAUAUCGUCUCUAAUCGGACAGUCUUUGAUGGAUAUACAUUUUUUUGUCGUGCGGGAGUAGGUCUGCAAAUGAGCAACAGUCAGUAGUUCAGAACCUUGGAUGCCAAAAUUUCAAUCACUUCAUUCUGGAUGGUUUUGGAAGUUUACUUCGCAUUUCGUGGGAUACCUGAUGUAAUGUCAGCCAGGUAUUUAUCUUUUUCCAACGUGUAUUAAAACAACUUGGCAAAAAGCCCCACAGCUAUGCAAUCUUACUCACUGUCACCAAGCCUGCAUUUAUUUGAUCCCACGUACAGUAAAAGUUUUAAAAGUUUUUACUAUUUAAAAUAACUAUUUUCUAUUUGAAAAUAUUUUUAUAUGUAAUUUAUUCCUGUGAUCAAAGGUGAAUG